rnacentral:rRNA from 1 species
GACGAACGCUGGCGGCGUGCUUAACACAUGCAAGUCGAGCGGAAAGGCCACUUCAGUGGUACUCGAGCGGCGAACGGGUGAGUAACACGUGAGUAAUCUGCCCCUGGCUUUGGGAUAGCCACCGGAAACGGUGAUUAAUACCGGAUACGACCACUUCUCGCAUGGGAUGGUGGUGGAAAGUUUUUUCGGCCAGGGAUGUGCUCGCGGCCUAUCAGCUUGAUGGUGAGGUAAUGGCUGACCAUGGCUUCGACGGGUAGCAGGCCUGAGAGGGUGACCGGUCACACUGGGACUGAGACACGGCCCAGACUCCUACGGGAGGCAGCAGUGGGGAAUAUUGGACAAUGGGCGGAAGCCUGAUCCAGCAACGCCGCGUGAGGGAUGACGGCCUUCGGGUUGUAAACCUCUUUCAGCAGGGACGAAGCGCAAGUGACGGUACCUGCAGAAGAAGCACCGGCCAACUACGUGCCAGCCGCCGCCGUAA